AGAGUUUGAUCAUGGCUCAGGACGAACGCUGGCGGCAGGCUUAACACAUGCAAGUCGAGCGCCCUGCUUGCAGGGAGCGGCAGACGGGUGAGUAACGCGUGGGAACGUGCCCUUCGGUACGGAACAACAGUUAGAAAUGACUGCUAAUACCGUAUACGACCUCCGGGUGAAAGAUUUAUCGCCGAAGGAUCGGCCCGCGUUAGAUUAGGUAGUUGGUGGGGUAAAGGCCUACCAAGCCUACGAUCUAUAGCUGUUCUGAGAGGAAGAUCAGCCACACUGGGACUGAGACACGGCCCAGACUCCUACGGGAGGCAGCAGUGGGGAAUAUUGGACAAUGGGGGCAACCCUGAUCCAGCCAUGCCGCGUGGAUGAAGAAGGCCCUAGGGUUGUAAAGUCCUUUCACCGCCGAGGAUAAUGACGGUAGGCGGAGAAGAAGCCCCGGCUAAUUUCGUGCCAGCAGCCGCGGUAAUACGAAAGGGGCUAGCGUUGUUCGGAAUUACUGGGCGUAAAUCGCGCGUAGGCGGCUUAUCAAGUUGGGGGUGAAAUCCCGGAGCUCAACUCCGGAACUGCCUCCAAAACUGGUAGGCU
rnacentral:rRNA from 1 species